AACGAACGCUGGCGGCAUGCCUAACACAUGCAAGUCGAACGAUGCCUUCGGGCAUAGUGGCGCACGGGUGCGUAACGCGUGGGAAUCUGCCUUUCGGUUCGGAAUAACUCAGGGAAACUUGAGCUAAUACCGGAUAACGUCGCAAGACCAAAGAUUUAUCACCGAAAGAUGAGCCCGCGUAGGAUUAGCUAGUUGGUGAGGUAAAGGCUCACCAAGGCGACGAUCCUUAGCUGGUCUGAGAGGAUGAUCAGCCACACUGGGAGUGAGACACGGCCCAGACUCCUACGGGAGGCAGCAGUGGGGAAUAUUGGACAAUGGGCGAGAGCCUGAUGCAGCAAGGCCGCGUGAGUGAUGAAGGCCUUAGGGUUGUAAAGCUCUUUUACCCGGGAAGAUAAUGACGGUACCGGGAGAAUAAGCCCCGGCUAACUCCGUG
rnacentral:rRNA from 1 species